CCUACGGGAGGCUGCAGUGAGGAAUAUUGGUCAAUGGGCGGAAGCCUGAACCAGCCAAGUAGCGUGCAGGAUGACGGCCCUACGGGUUGUAAACUGCUUUUAUCAGGGAACAACGCGCCUUACGUGUAGGGCUUUGCAUGUACCGUAUGAAUAAGGACCGGCUAAUUCCGUUCCAGCAGCCGCGGUAAUCAGGAAGGUCCGGGCGUUAUCCGGAUUUAUUGGGGUUAAAGGGAGCGGAGGGCGCAUGACAAGGGUGCUGUGAAAUGUUCGGGCUCAACCCGGGCCGUGCAGGGCGAACUGGGGUGCUUGAGUGCGCGGAAAGCAGGCGGAAUUCGUGGUGUAGCGGUGAAAUGCUUAGAUAUGACGAAGAACCCCGAUUGCGAAGGCAGCUUGCUGCAGCGGAACUGACGCUGAUGCUCGAAAGCGCGGGUAUCGAACAGGAUUAGAUACCCCUGUAGUC
rnacentral:rRNA from 1 species